CCAGAACCGGGGACAGCUCCGUCCCGAGCCCCCAGCGCCCAGGCUGGAUUCGGGGGACUCAUCCAGCCCAGGGCAGCCUCACAGAGCAACCGCGCUCAUCACCUACUCUGAGUGUCUCUCCAGCACGCCCCUUUUGAGCCCUCUCCUUCAUCGCCCUUGGCUUACCGCAAGGCCCUGUGUUGAACACGAGUACACGGAAGUACAGGUUACUGCAGCGCUGUACACUGGUUUUUAAACUGUUUAGUAUAGGAUUAUUCUGCUGCACAAUCAUUGAUGUUACUAUGUCUGCUUUUGUGCGUAUGUCCUUGAAGAGUCUGACGGCCGUCAACAUUUGAAAGUUUCAGAUUAAGUGCUGCUUUCCUGAACUGUUUGAAGUUCUCCGGAGAUGCCUUUAUGGGAACUGGAAGUGCCAUCUUUUUACAUAAAUUUAUCCAGGAGUCUGCAUUCUUAAUUCUGAUGUCCUGAAAUUCAUCCAAAGAAGUGAGGUUUUUACCCACGAAAGCUUAUGCCCAAAUAAAUCUGUUAGUCUUUAAAGUGC